rnacentral:ncRNA from 1 species
UUAAAGUUUGAUUCUUGCUUGAACUUUUAUUUUAUAAUUAAGGUAUAUGUGUAUCUUGGUGGGAAAGAAGUAAGUAUAAUAGAGAUAAUUUAUAAUAAGUCGUAGUUUUGUUAUUCGCAGUAUGGAAGAUUAAAUAUUGGUUUAGGGUCCGAUUUAGUAAAUUAUAAAAAGUUUGAUGAAAUUUUGUGCCAGCAAUCGCGGUUAGACUUAAAAGCUUAGUAAAGGUGUUUUAGUUUAGGUUAUUCUUAUGUUUAAAGGUAAAUUGAAAUUUAUAGUAAUAAAAGGUGAAAUUGGUUUAUUAGGAAUAAAUGGAAGUUGGAUUAUAAAUAGGAGGAGACUCGGAAAUUAAGGUAUAAACUAGGAUUAGAUACCCUAUUAUACUUAAAAGAUAAAAAUAAAACUUGAAUAUUAAUAGAUAUGGUCUUUAAAUUCAAAGAAUUUGGCGGUAUUUUAGUCUUGUUAGAGGAACCUGUUCUGUAAAUGAUACAACACGAAAAAAUCUUACUUACUCUUGUUUAGCAGUUUGUAUACCGUCAUUAUCAGAUAACCUUUGUUGAGGUAGUUAUUGAAAUUUGAGAAGUAAAGUAUAUUAGAUCAAGGUGCAGUUUAUGGGUAAGAAGAAAUGGGUUACAAUAAAAUUUAUUUAUUACGAAUCAGUAAAAGAAUAGUUUCUGUGAAGGGGGAUUUAAUUGUAAUACAUAAUUUAGUAAGUUAGUGUGAUAUGAGAACUAAAGUAUGUACAUAUCGCCCGUCGCUUCCGCUUAAGGUGGAAUAAGUCGUAACAUAGUAGGUGUACUGGAAGGUGUACCUGGAACUAA